UGCAAGUCGAACGCGAAAGGGACUUCGGUCCUGAGUAAAGUGGCGGCACGGGUGAGUAACGCGUAGAUAACCUGUCUUCAUGUCUGGAAUAAUACGCCGAAAGGGGUACUAAUACCGGAUAUUCUUGCUUUUCAUAAGUUAUGCAAGCAAAGGUGGCCUCUGCAUAUGCUACUGCAUGAAGAGGGGUCUGCGUACCAUUAGCUAGUAGGUGGGGUAAUGGCCUACCUAGGCGACGAUGGUUAGCGGGUCUGAGAGGAUGAUCCGCCACACUGGCACUGGAACACGGGCCAGACUCCUACGGGAGGCAGCAGUGAGGAAUAUUGCGCAAUGGGGGAAACCCUGACGCAGCGACGCCGCGUGAGUGAGGAAGGCCUUCGGGUCGUAAAGCUCUGUCAAGAGGAAAGAAGUGUACAAUGGCUAAUACCUGUUGUAUUUGACGGUACCUCUAAAGGAAGCACCGGCUAACUCCGUGCCAGCCGCGGC
rnacentral:rRNA from 1 species